rnacentral:lncRNA from 1 species
UCCUUUUCGACGUGAAUCAUCACGAUCUGGAACUGGAAUACGAUCGCGACAAAGCUGUUUCUGUAUAUAAAAAAUAUAUAUUUGAGACACACGAUAUCACUUGGCCAUAAUCGAGCAAAAACAGAAGGGAAAUGUCUUUUGUUAGAUAUAUUUUCCUGUCACGUGACUCAGAAAGAAUCACGUGAAUUCUAUUAUUUUAUUAAGGAAAAAUAAAACGUAUCGACAAUUGAAAUUAUAAUGUUCAUAGCAUCCGACCACGCGCGCCUCCACUCUUCGCAGUUACUUCCCAACAACACUAAUGCCUUUGCGACAAACUGAAAACCAAAAUACCUAAUGAAGCUAAUUUUGAUUUCUUGUCGCGCCACGCACAAUUCUCUUUUUUUAACUAAAAUCUACUUCAUAUAAAAAAUCAGACACUGACUCGCGCUAAUCAACUACUAUCACACGCUGUCCACAUAAAGUACAUUAGUUUACAAAAGUACCCUUCUAACAGUUAUCAGUUCUACUCCACUUAAAAGUGCUAUAAUCCAGUGUGUCUCGUCGGCGCUAGGCUUCCGGCGCAUUGUACGAUACCCAGAUUCACUUAUUUUAGGCAAGAAAAAACAGUAAUACCAAAUUAAAAUUAAAAUCUAAAGGAGUACAUUGACUGACCAGGCAAAAUUAAAAAUCCAUAAGAAAAAAAAUUAAAAACAAACUGAGAUCGGGAAAUGAUUAUCGUUUAAGACAUAGGUUUCCGGCAGAGAAUCAUAUGCAUCGGAGAGAAAAUUUCAGUUUCGCCUCCUCUGGACAAGAAAUCAGCAGUCUUAAACAACAUCUCGUGAACAUCGACGGUUCCCUUAGGCGCAACUCCAACAGCAGACAGAAUCUGAACCACAAUGUGGUUCCUCCAAUAAGCGAGCCGACCCAUCUUAAGCCUAGUCCACCACGGCUCAGCCGGUGGAGCCGCUAGAUCCUUCUCCUUGACAACUUGGAAGCCAACUUUCUUGGCGGCCUCGGCUAUAUCCGAGUAAGCCCUAAGCCCAGGAAGCGCGUCACCCCUCUCGAUGCCUUGGAUGACCUCCACGUGUUCCUCAUCCUCGGCGUUGAACUUAUCAGUGGUGACCCACUCGUACGAUACGUACAAAGAUCCGGGUUUCAACACCCUGUAGAUCUCGGCGUAGACUUCUUCCAGCUUCGGCGCGUGACACGUCGCUUCGAUAGAGUACGCGCCGUCGAAGGUGGCUAAUUUUGAUUUCUUGUCGCGCCACGCACAAUUCUCUUUUUUUAACUAAAAUCUACUUCAUAUAAAAAAUCAGACACUGACUCGCGCUAAUCAACUACUAUCACACGCUGUCCACAUAAAGUACAUUAGUUUACAAAAGUACCCUUCUAACAGUUAUCAGUUCUACUCCACUUAAAAGUGCUAUAAUCCAGUGUGUCUCGUCGGCGCUAGGCCUCCGGCGCAUUGUACGAUACCCAGAUUCACUUAUUUUAGGCAAGAAAAAACAGUAAUACCAAAUUAAAAUUAAAAUCUAAAGGAGUACAUUGACUGACCAGGCAAAAUCAAAAAUCCAUAAGAAAAAAAAUUAAAAACAAACUGAGAUCGGGAAAUGAUUAUCGUUUAAGACAUAGGUUUCCGGCAGAGAAUCAUAUGCAUCGGAGAGAAAAUUUCAGUUUCGCCUCCUCUGGACAAGAAAUCAGCAGUCUUAAACAACAUCUCGUGAACAUCGACGGUUCCCUUAGGCGCAACUCCAACAGCAGACAGAAUCUGAACCACAAU